rnacentral:rRNA from 1 species
GAACUGCAGGACACAUGAACAUCGACAUUUCGAACGCACAUUGCGGUCCUGGGAUCUCAUACCCGGACCACUCCUGGCUGAGGGUCGUAUCUCAUUUGAAGACUGCUCGGAUUUUCAUUCGAUCUUCGCGGUCGACGAGAAUCGUCUGAGCGUGCUGAGCGUAUAAGCGCGAUUCGAUCGCGACGUUCUAAAACGUGACAGCGGACCCGUACGUGUGACAUAACUCUCUCGUAUGGGUCGUACGAAUAUGAAAGGGAUGAGACGUGUUUAAACGGUCGUUUGCACGUUUUUGUGAUAAACGUAGCACGCACCAUUAAUACGAUCGUCGUAUCCGAUAAAAUUAGUUUUUAAUCGACGUCGGAUCGUAGGUGCGUUGCCCGUUUUUCGACGGCGCGUCUUUUCCUUUAUAAACUUUUAUAUUUCGUAUUGGCUCCUAAUCUUCAUUAUUAUGAUGAUUACGAGCGCCACGCAUAUUAAACUAGCGACCUCAGAGCAGGUGAGACUACCCGCUGAAUAAAGCCAUAUAA